CUGCUACACUGCACCUAACUUUUAUUCCUUACGCUAUAUAACUUUAGAAAACACCAGGCAAGGGGCCUGAACAGAGUUGCGGUGGUUAACUGACUUUCGUGAGUUUUCCAUGUGUAACCUUUCAUCCAUAAAGUCACAGUGAGGUGAUUUGUUUUUCAUUAUUUUUUUUCAGAGGCACAAAGAAUAAAAAAGAAUGAACCUUCACUUUACCCUGGCCUAAAAAUUAAGAACAAGUCAGCACAGGUGGGUUUUACUAGGCACAAAUGCACACCCCUCUGUUCUUGAAAACUCACCUGAGGUUGGUCCAGGCCCUUCAGAGCCAGAAUGACAGAAGCAGCAGCAGUGAGAUAUGGAUUGCUUGAAUGCUUUGUUUAAUGGAUCCGUGGACAAGAGACCAGAGGAGAUCUCAUCUCUGUCAUUUAAAGAACUGGCAAUAAAAGGAGAGAAAAAAAGAAAGGAAACGAUAUAUCGCAUUCAGAGCAUAGGGAUAAAACAACAAAAGGCCUAUCCGCCUGGGUCAGACCUAACUUUUAUUCUUACCUUGCAAGCUUUGGCCUCCUUUGAUUUAAUUCCAUGCAGUCAGGAGAAUAAUAUCAAAUGGGAAAACUGAGAUGUGGAUGAUAUUCUUAAGAACUUCCUCCUUCUCCACCAUAUGGGACAUAAGAAAAGAGAUGGAGCUGCAGGAGGAGAACAUCUGAUUGGAAGUUUAUCUAUUUAGUGUGAAAGCUUUUAACAUGAGAGAGGAUUGUGCAUUUCUUGUGCCCAGGUGUCUCUGAUAGAGAUAAUUUGUCUUUUUUGAGGAAAAAAAGUAUGAAUUCUCCCCAUAUGCUGCACAUGGGAGGAAGAGAAGGCUGGCGAGGAUGAUAAUCCAGUCCUGGUUUUGAGGUUCCCUUUUCACAGGUGGAAGCUGUUUGUCAAUGAAUUGUAAAUGCCCUUGAACUCAGUGGAAAAACCUCCAUCUAUUUUCAUCUAUUUAUGUGAAGGGAAAGGGAAAUAUUUCCAGUCUGCCUGCCAUGAAAUGAAAUAAAAAUCAGCAAUAGAACCUCCAGUCUGAGGGGGAAAUGUGAGCUGGGUAUAAAUCGCUUGGCAUGCCUUAGAACAGUGUUUGCUCUGGUCAUGUGAACAUCCAUUUCCUCUCCGUUUCACAUACCUGUAUUUGUAGGACACCAGAGACAAACAACUUCUACAAACGAACUCUACUAUUUUCCUCAAAGUGCAAGACACACACUAUAGUCCCCCAGCCCUCCCAGUGAAAUACACAAAUACCCUUUUGGAUCCUUGACAUCUGCUAUAAUUUCAUACCUACGCCAAAAGCAAACGGCUACAUCACUAACGGGCAGUUCACAAGAAUAGGCCAGAGCUAGUCAUUUGAAAUGUGCAUCACCCCCAGGCCUCGCUCACACAUCACAUAUUUUUCCAAGGUAGACAUGUCAUUGUACACAACAUUAACACUGCAGAGGCAAGUAG